UACAGAGGGGGCGAGCGUUGUUCGGAAUUACUGGGCGUAAAGCGCGCGUAGGCGGCCUUCUAAGUCGAACGUGAAAUCCCCGGGCUCAACCCGGGAACUGCGUCCGAUACUGGAAGGCUUGAAUCCGGGAGAGGGAUGCGGAAUUCCAGGUGUAGCGGUGAAAUGCGUAGAUAUCUGGAGGAACACCGGUGGCGAAGGCGGCAUCCUGGACCGGUAUUGACGCUGAGGCGCGAAAGCCAGGGGAGCAAACGGG
rnacentral:rRNA from 1 species